rnacentral:rRNA from 1 species
AAACCAGCACCUCAAGUGGUCAGGAUGAUUAUUGGGCCUAAAGCAUCCGUAGCCGGCUCUGUAAGUUUUCGGUUAAAUCUGUACGCUCAACGUACAGGCUGCCGGAAAUACUGCAGAGCUAGGGAGUGGGAGAGGUAGACGGUACUCGGGAGGAAGGGGUAAAAUCCUUUGAUCUUUCGAUGACCACCUGUGGCGAAGGCGGUCUACCAGAACACGUCCGACGGUGAGGGAUGAAAGCUGGGGGAGCAAACCGGAUUAGAAACCCGGGUAGUCC